UUACAUUGCCAGCACUACGGUCCUCAAGGUUUGAUUCAAACCGCGAGUUAAAAGGGAAUCCGGUGCGUGUGUUUGCAGAAUAUUUCUCGCAGGCAUGCAACGCCGGGGCUGCCCCCGCAACUGUAACCAGCCAUCGGGCUGACGCUUAGUCAGUCUGAUAGCGCAAGGCAUCUUAAGCCACUGAACCUGCCGGGGUUCGGGAAGGCGCCAAGCGUAAGGCCGGGAGCCAGGAGACCUGCCGUGGAUUUUUUCAACGC
rnacentral:ncRNA from 2 species